CACCUCCGAAUACAUGCAGUAAAGAGCAAAGCAGUAGCAGCAUCUCUGUAUCUCCCUCCCUCUGACACCUCUCUGACUGCAGCCCACGGGUUCCUGCACAAUCCCGAGGAGUCACCCAAAGAGCUUCUGAUCAGGGACAAAUGACAGCAUGUCCCUGGGUGAUUAAUCACUGAGAGCAGAGCCGAGGGGAGAGGGAUGAGGGGAGAGCAGGAGAAACUGCUGCGUGUGGAGCUUUACAUGAAAGAUCAGAAUCAAAGCUGAGCUGGAGGUGUCUGGAGAAGAUCUAAGUAUCCUGGGGUUUUACUGAGGAGAAAAGAGAGAGAGCGCAAGAGAUCCAGACUGCAAAGGAUCCCCAGGCAGCUGCAGUGCAAACAAUGCUGUAAAAUUGCAAGAAGGAGACGCAAGAGGGAAGGACUUUACAAGCUGUUAAAAUGCCAGAGCAAAGUAACGACUACCGAGUAGUUGUUUUUGGAGCAGGAGGUGUUGGAAAAAGUUCUCUAGUUCUGCGCUUUGUAAAAGGAACGUUUCGGGAUACGUACAUUCCCACCAUUGAGGAUACAUAUCGCCAGGUUAUCAGUUGUGACAAAAGUGUCUGCACUUUGCAGAUCACAGACACAACGGGAAGCCACCAGUUUCCAGCAAUGCAAAGGCUCUCAAUUUCUAAGGGUCAUGCUUUUAUUCUGGUGUUCUCUGUUACAAGCAAGCAAUCCAUAGAGGAACUCAAGCCAAUCUACCAGCAAAUAUUGCAGAUCAAGGGUAGCAUAGAGAACAUUCCUGUAAUGCUGGUUGGAAAUAAAUGUGAUGAAACACAAAGGGAAGUGGACACAAAGGAAGUUGAGGCUCUGGCCAAAGAAUGGAAAUGUGCCUUUAUGGAAACAUCAGCCAAGAUGAACUACAAUGUGAAGGAACUUUUCCAAGAGCUAUUAAACUUGGAGAAACGGAGAAAUAUGAGCUUAAACAUAGAUGGCAAAAGGUCCAGCAAGCAGAAGAGAGCAGACAAAAUCAAGGGGAAAUGCAGCAUCAUGUAGUGAAAACAAGUCCUGAUUUAUCCAUUUCAUGCUCGACCAUAGAAAGGUUUUGUUUCUUUUUAAAAAAAAUUGAAGAUUCCAUGUUACUCGCUGCAUUCUAUCACUGUGAGCGCAUAGGCAUACACUAAUCGCCUUGCACGUUCAUUGUGCAGCACUGUAUGGUUUGCUUUGUAUCUUUUUAUCAUUCUUAUUAAUUUUUUAUGAACAGCGAACAAAUCUGCCAUCCAAAAUAUAUUCUAGUUAUUUAUUUUUCAAUAUCUGUUCUUCUUCAUCCACGUUUGACUUUACAAAAAUGUCAUGUUCUGGAACUGCCCUGAAAACAAAUAAAUAAAAAUAAUCAAAUAGAUAAGUUUAUGCUAAUAUGCGGUGAUUAAAAGAAAUAUCAGAAAAAAUUGUCAAGCGGUUAGUGAAGAUGUUAUUUUGGGAUCACAAACCCCUGCAAGGAAAGGACAUCAAUAAAGAUAGCUCCUGUCUUGCUAUACUCAAAAGGACUUUAAUAAAGGAACUAGCUGGAAUAUUGAAAGAGGCAUUACAAAAGCAAGAGGAAUGAAGUGAUAAGCAUGUAUGAUGGUGUUGUAGACACUAAAUAUUUGAGUAUAUAGACAUCAGCAAACAAACUGAUGAUAACAAGGAAGUGACCUAUGGACAUGGCCAGAUGUCUGCAUAGCAAGAACCCACAUAUGAAACUUACAGUAGUUACAAUUACAUGGAUGCAACAAGUCUUCUUAUGAGUUAGUUUUAACUCCUUGCCUAGCUUUGCCUUCUGCUUGAACAAUAUGAUGUCCAAAUGUGUGGCAAAUAUUUAAAGUGACCUACAGAUAUGGAGUGUCUAGAAAAUAUAACGUUCCAAGAUGUGGAACCUUUCUGGAUAAACAAUAUAUAACAGCUACACUCUGAAGCAGUGCUAGAAUAACACUUGGCAGAUUACAGUAUUGGCCCUGAAGUACAGCUACUCAAUAUUUUUUUUUUACCAGAAAAUGAGCACAAGUUAGGUUAAAAUGAACAGCAAGAGCCAAUAAUUCUCAAAUUGACAUUUUUAGCAAUGACGGGAAAAAAAAAGAUUUAGGUGAAAAUUGUUGCAACUUCUCAUUGGCAAUGCAUCAUACAACCCUUAUGUUAUAAUUGGGGCAAAUUCACUAAGAUUCGUAGUUGCACCAGCAUCCGAUUCGCCGCACUUCGCCAGGCGUAUUUUCGCCA